rnacentral:misc_RNA from 1 species
AAGUCGUAACAAGGUAACCGUAGGUGAACCUGCGGUUGGAUCAUUAAUAAAUGUUUCUAAACCUAGGAUUGCUUUUUCCUUUGGAGUCCUCACGGAUAACAAUGGGACUGGCAUUUCCUAUACACAUACCUGUUGAACUGUGAUUGACUUUGAAAGGGAUGUUUGAAAGCAUCUCACGAUCUUUUAGCCCCCCUUUCAAAACUUUUAACAUACAAAGACCUUUCUUAAAGGAUAUGAACUUGACUUUCGAGUUGAGGAAAUUGACUAUAUAAAGAAAAACAACUUUUGACAACGGAUCUCUUGGCUCUC